GGGCUCCCCAUCCUGAGCCGGGGCGUGUCCCUGAGGAGCGGCGUUCGGAAGUUUGCAGAGGGCCAGGGCAGUUUCGGCCAGGCCGGGGGGCCGGGGGCGCGACUCCUCGGGCAAGCGAAAGCCCACCCGCAGCCUGAAGCCUCUGAAGGUCCACUUCGGGGCCCAGGGAGGCAGCAGCCAGGACUGCCGUCCACAAGUGCGUUAGGUACCUUGUCACUGAAGACAGUGCUGGCCGGUGGAGCUCGGAUCUGCGAAGGGUACGUGCUUCAUCUCGAGCGCACAACUCUAGCACUCACUGAGAGAGAAAACAGGAAUUCCUGAGUGUGUCACCUGACCAAGGGGAGCCCUCGGGAGCUCGAGGGAGCCUCUGAGGCCAGUGUACUUCUGAGUAUCCACCAGAGAAGGCCAAGAACACAGCACCAGAAAUGUACAAGGAAAUAAAACACAGGCGGAGAAGGAAGUCCUGGAGAGGCUGGAGAAGAAAAGUAGGUGUUCCUCCUUAGCCAGAUCCUACCCCGAGCUCUGGAGCUCCAGAAUAUUCUGUCCUCUUUAUGGUGGAGGUUGGAGUAGGGAUAUAGUCUUCCCUCCCCACGCACUGGAGCAUCUGAGGCCACUGCAUCUGGCCCUGUUUGUCCUGGAGCACGUGGGCAAAGUGGUGCCAGCCCACAGCCAGCUGCUGCCCUGGACCCAUCAGCUGUGCCAGGUGGAGCGUGGACAGCAAGCGCCUCCAGAGUCCUGCGAAGUGCAUACAAUCUUGCAUUCUUGAUCCAAGAUUUUGUCCCACAGAAGGGGCCUGUAAUGCUUUUGAACCCCACCUGUCUGGAGUAGAGGGGCACCCACUGGUCCAGAACCAUCGCUCAAGCAGAAGGAGGGAGCUCAUGCCGGCUGCUGCACGUUACCUGGCUUCCUGUGUUACAGACAAAAGAAGCCGGCCAAACUGUGCAGUCUGAAACAUGAGACCCAGAACUAGCACAUCCUAGUUCCCGGAACCUGUGAACAUUACCUUCUGUGAAAAGAAAGAAAUUGCAGAUGUGAUUACGUUAAGGACCUUGCGAUGCAGAGAUUAUCCUGCAUUACCCAGGUGGGCCCUAAAUGCCAUCACGUGUAUCUUUAUGAGAGAGGCAGAAGGAGACUUGAGACACACAGAGGCCAUGAGAUGACGGAGCAGAGAGGUUUGAAGAUGCGGCCUUGAAGGUUGGAGUAAUGCAACGCAGGAAUGCUGGCAGCCACCAGCAGCUGGCAGAGGCGGGGAGCGAAUCCUCCCAGGAGCCUCUGGAAGGAGCAGAGCCCUGCCAACGCCUUGAUUUUGACCCAGUUAAACUGAUUUCAGAUUUUUGGCUUCCAGAACUGUGAGAGAAUAAAUCUCUGCAGUUUUAUGCCACCCAGCUUGUGGCAAUUUGUCACAGCAAACCACUGGAAACUAAUAUAGAAUCCAUAAAGCGAAGGAAAAACACUUUCUCAGAAAAACGUGGCACCAAGGAAUUUAUUGCCAGCAGACCAAUCCUAGCACGGGCUCUAGGCACACGGGCUUAGUAGUUGUGGCGCACGGGCUUAGCUGCUCCGUGGCAUGUGGGAUCUUCCCGGACCAGGGCUCGAACCCAUGCCCUCUGCAUUGGCAGGCGGAUUCUUAACCACUGCGCCACCAGCGAAAUCCCCAACCCUGGAGGAAAUGUUAAAAUAAGUUAUUUAGUCAGAAGGAAAAUUGGAUCUCCAUAAAGAAAUGAAGACCCUCAGAGAAAGAAUAAAUGAAGCGUGUUGCUUGUGGGAUCUGAAUUCCCCCAACUGGGGACUGAACCUGGGCCUUUGGCAGUGAGAGCUUGGAGUCCUAACCACUGGACCGUCAGGGGAGUCCCAGAGCAUAAAUAUUCUUAAUCUUAAAGUUGACAGCAGACAUGGCAGGGGUCCGGAGAGAUGGCCGAGCCUCCUAGAUGGAUGGUCACAGGUCCCAAGACCGCGGUGCGAACUUGGGCUGUGUGGUGACUGCAGCCACAUUCCAUCCCCACCCCUGCCUCCAGGAUCCCCCAUUAGACGGGUGACAGCCUUGCAAAAACACGACGGGACACAGGGGAAGGGCGAGUGCUGGGGGCUGGUGAGGCUGGGGAGCCGGUGUCUCCUGGAUGCAGAGCUUGGUGUGGGAAGGUUAGGAAGUCGCGG